rnacentral:rRNA from 1 species
GACGAACGCUGGCGGCGUGCUUAACACAUGCAAGUCGAACGGACAGGCCCUGCUCUUGCGGGGUGCUCGAGUGGCGAACGGGUGAGUAACACGUGAGUAACCUGCCCUUGACUUUGGGAUAACUUCAGGAAACUGGGGCUAAUACCGGAUAGGAGCUCCUGCUGCAUGGUGGGGGUUGGAAAGUUUCGGCGGUUGGGGCUGGACUCGCGGCUUAUCAGCUUGUUGGUGGGGUAGUGGCUUACCAAGGCUUUGACGGGUAGCCGGCCUGAGAGGGUGACCGGCCACAUGGGGACUGAGAGACGGCCCAGAAGCCUACGGGAGGCAGUAGUGGGGAGUAUUGCACAAUGGGCGGAAGCCUGAUGCAGCAACGCCGCGUGCGGGAUGACGGCCUUCGGGUUGUAAACCGCUUUCGCCUGUGACGAAGCGGGAGUGACGGUAAUGGGUAAAGAAGCACCGGCUAACUACGUG